UACGUAGGGUGCGAGCGUUGUCCGGAAUUAUUGGGCGUAAAGGGCUCGUAGGCGGUUUGUCGCGUCGGGAGUGAAAACUCAGGGCUUAACCCUGAGCCUGCUUCCGAUACGGGCAGACUAGAGGUAUGCAGGGGAGAACGGAAUUCCUGGUGUAGCGGUGGAAUGCGCAGAUAUCGGGAGGAACACCGGUGGCGAAGGCGGGUCUCUGGGCAG
rnacentral:rRNA from 1 species